UACAGAGGGGGCGAGCGUUGUUCGGAAUUACUGGGCGUAAAGCGUGCGCAGGCGGCUUCUCAAGUCAGGGGUGAAAGCCCAGAGCUCAACUCUGGAAUUGCCUUUGAGACUGAGUGGCUUGAGUACGAGAGAGGUGAGUGGAAUUCCCAGUGUAGAGGUGAAAUUCGUAGAUAUUGGGAAGAACACCGGUGGCGAAGGCGGCUCACUGGCUCGUAACUGACGCUCAUGCACGACAGCGUGGGGAUCAAACAGG
rnacentral:rRNA from 1 species